ACACACACACACACACACACAAGAAUAGCUCUGACAUUCUCAUAUUAUAAAUCAUAAAUUUGUAAGUGAUAUCUGUUGGAAGUUGAUGUUAAUCCAAACAAGCAUUGUGUGAUCUAUUUAUAAGAACAGCCAGAUCUUCUGAGAUUAUAAUGGGGGAAGCCAUGAGUGGUGUCAAUGGUGAGGUGAGGUUGAUCUAACCUUAUAACGCUGUGGUCAAUUUAUGAGAAAAUUCAAAUUUACAAGAUUGCAAAGGAAUGUGGUAUGAUCCAAACCCAGUAAACUUGGGGUCAUUUAAAAGUAUUUAUAGUUAUUUUCAAGCAGCAGUGGUUUGAUGAGUUUGAGCCAACCUUGGGAAACUGAAGAUGAUUACAUUGGACAUUUUUGGUAAUUGAUAAUAUUAUUAAUUAAAUAACUAAAUAUUAAUCUUACAUAAUUUAGUUUGUUUACAUUUAUUCAGGUAAAGAUUGAUGAUUUUGUGCAAUUUUAUUUAAAUUAAAUACUAUAAGUAACUAUAUUUAUUCAUACAAGUAUUUCUUGCUUGAGACCCACUAAUUGGUAGCAUGAUGCAUUUCUUAGUUGUGGUCAUCUUCUGGGAAUUGAUGAUAAUGCAAGAUAAAGAAAACUGACAAACAUUUUCUUAAAUACACACAUGAUUACAAUGUAAAAUGAGAGUGGUUAAGGUGUAGAGCUAAAAGACACAUGUCGUCAUAGAGUAAAUGAGAAAAAGCCCAAAGUAUGAAGGCAUUGCCAGUAGGCCUUUUCCACAACAUAAAGCUGGGAGAGCACUGACAUUCAUUGUCUCUCUGACAUCCUUCAGCACUGUGAAAUGUACAAAGCCUCAUUUUCCCUCUGUUGGUUUACCCUCUUUUGAGGGCUUUCAAAAAUACUUUAUAUGAGCUGUGUGUCAUGGCAUUUUUCUGCCAUUUGAAAGUUAGUAUGUUUUUAUAUUGUUUUACAUUUAUAACCCAUCAUGGCACGGGUUUACGUAUUGUAUAAUCAACUGUUUUCAUUAGAGAACGUGUGUGUGUAUCAGACAAAUUGUUAAACAUGAUCAUUUUAAUGUUAUUAGUUGGAUAAAGGAUCAUUGUUGGCACUGUAUACUGUAUGUUUAAAAGUGUUAAACCAAUUGUAAAAAUCAAGGUCAUACAUAAAAGAUGCAUGUGUGACAAAAAAAUGGACAGUCAGCAGUCAUCAAGAUAAAGUUGAAAUUAUUCUUAAUGUGGUUUUUUUAAAGUUGACAUUUUUUUGUAUGAACUGUUUACUCGUUGUGGUCCAACAUUGUGUUGACAAAGCAACAGAAAUUCUUUUCCACGUUGAGCUACGCAAAAUUAUAUUUGAAAAGUAUGAACAAACAAAUUUACUACAAAAAAACUAAACAAAAAACAAAAAAGAUUUUUAAAAAUGUUCUGCCUAUUUUGUAACACAUUGUAAUUGCCAUUAUUUUCUAUUUAUUUUUUAAUUAUAAUUAUCAUUGUAUUCACAGUUGCUUUGUCCCCUUCCUGAAACUGAAUCAGAAUUAAACAUUGCUAUUUGACCAAUGGCGUUUUUCUAUUUAACUUUAACAUUUAUUUUAGUUUUAGCUUUUUGAAUGUAUUUAUAGUAUGUAAAGCUUUUUCCAUCAGAAUGCCAACUGCUGUUUGGGUUAGUCAUCUUUAUUAAUUUUGUUUUCACUAAUAGUUAACUAUUAGUCUGCUUUUAGCUGGAUAUUUAAACUCUGUGUUAUAAAUGGAUAAAACUAAUAGCAUAAAUAAUUUUUUGAAAUAGUUUGUAUGUUACAGCAUUUUUGGGCUCAGAGCAUAGCCUUUAGAAUUAAUC
ensembl:lncRNA